GGGAGUUGGCACCCAGACCACUCCAAUGGGCAGACGUCUGGAGUAAUCAGAAAAUGUCAAUCUUUGCUAAGUGGAUGUCACCUGAAAUAGGCAUUCCUUCCAGUUACAUAUUUAGUAUGAAGCUUUCUGGGUCUGGGAUGGGAUUUUAGGAUGAUCACAUUUUAUGAAUUAGUGUUGUCUUUUACUCGGGGGCAGCUGCUUCUCAGGACCGCC